rnacentral:rRNA from 1 species
GAUGAACGCUGGCGGCGUGCCUAAUACAUGCAAGUCGAGCGAACAGACGAGGAGCUUGCUCCUCUGACGUUAGCGGCGGACGGGUGAGUAACACGUGGAUAACCUACCUAUAAGACUGGGAUAACUUCGGGAAACCGGAGCUAAUACCGGAUAAUAUAUUGAACCGCAUGGUUCAAUAGUGAAAGACGGUUUUGCUGUCACUUAUCGAUCGAUCCGCGCCGCAUUAGCUAGUUGGUAAGGUAACGGCUUACCAAGGCGACGAUGCGUAGCCGACCUGAGAGGGUGAUCAGCCACACUGGAACUGAGACACGGUCCAGACUCCUACGGGAGGCAGCAGUAGGGAAUCUUCCGCAAUGGGCGAAAGCUUGACGGAGCAACGCCGCGUGAGUGAUGAAGGUCUUCGGAUCGUAAAACUCUGUUAUUAGGGAAGAACAAAUGUGUAAGUAACUAUGCACGUCUUGACGGUACCUAAUCAGAAAGCCACGGCUAACUACGUG